rnacentral:rRNA from 1 species
AGCAGCCGCGGUAAUUCCAGCUCCAAUAGCGUAUAUUAAAGUUGUUGCAGUUAAAAGCUCGUAGUUGAACUUCGGGGUUUAUUCAUUGGUCAGGCUUAAUUGUCUGUACUGGUGAGAUGAAUCUCUACCUUCUGAGGAACUUUCAUGCCAUUCAGUUGGUGUGAUAGGAAAUCAGGACUAUUACUUUGAAAAAUUAGAGUGUUUAAAGCAGGCUAAAGUCUGAAUAUAUUAGCAUGGAAUAAUGAAAUAGGACGGCUUGGUUCUAUUUCGUUGGUUUCUAGGAUCACCGUAAUGAUUAAUAGGGAUAGUUGGGGACAUUAGUAUUCAAUUGUCAGAGGUGAAAUUCUUGGAUUUAUUGAAGACUAACUACUGCGAAAGCAUUUGCCAAGGAUGUUUUCAUUAAUCAAGAACGAAAGUUAGGGAUCGAAGACGAUCAGAUACCGUCGUAGU